UUGAAUCCUGGCUCAGAACGAACGCUGGCGGCAGGCUUAACACAUGCAAGUCGAGCGAGACCUUCGGGUCUAGCGGCGGACGGGUGAGUAACGCGUGGGAACGUGCCCUUCUCUACGGAAUAGCCCCGGGAAACUGGGAGUAAUACCGUAUACGCCCUUUGGGGGAAAGAUUUAUCGGAGAAGGAUCGGCCCGCGUUGGAUUAGGUAGUUGGUGGGGUAAUGGCCCACCAAGCCGACGAUCCAUAGCUGGUUUGAGAGGAUGAUCAGCCACACUGGGACUGAGACACGGCCCAGACUCCUACGGGAGGCAGCAGUGGGGAAUCUUAGACAAUGGGGGCAACCCUGAUCUAGCCAUGCCGCGUGAGUGAUGAAGGCCUUAGGGUUGUAAAGCUCUUUCAGCUGGGAAGAUAAUGACGGUACCAGCAGAAGAAGCCCCGGCUAACUCCGUGCCAGCAGCCGCGGUAAUACGGAGGGGGCUAGCGUUGUUCGGAAUUACUGGGCGUAAAGCGCACGUAGGCGGACUGGAAAGUCAGAGGUGAAAUCCCAGGGCUCAACCUUGGAACUGCCUUUGAAACUAUCAGUCUGGAGUUCGAGAGAGGUGAGUGGAAUUCCGAGUGUAGAGGUGAAAUUCGUAGAUAUUCGGAGGAACACCAGUGGCGAAGGCGGCUCACUGGCUCGAUACUGACGCUGAGGU
rnacentral:rRNA from 1 species